CCGAAUAUCGAUCGACCAUUGUUGCUGUUGGAAAUAAGAUGAGUUGGUCUCAUCCCGAUAUUUCAAUGGAAGAACUCGUCGAUCGGAUCAAAGGCUUCGUAGACAUACUUGUUCUGGCCUCUGGCUACCAAUCGUCCGGUCUUCCUGCAAUCUGGGACGUUGACAACAUCAAGAAGGCCGUGAGAUGGGGUCUCUUCUUCGAAGAUGUGUUGAAAAGCUUGCGGCUUUAUAGUAAUUAUGUGGAGUCUGUGAAGGAGCUUGAUGCGGCUCUGUUCAAUCUGACUUCAGAUCCAAUUUUCCCUCUGGGUCUUGCGCAUUUAUCAUCUGCAACUCUUUCUAAUGCGAGAAGAUUUGUUUUAGAACACUUACUACAGACUCACCCAAUAAAGGAUGAGCAUUUGAUUGCCAUUCUUAGAGCUGUUGUUGAAAUGGACAUUGAUGAACUCUCAGAAGCACAUAAUGAUUGUCCAAAGGUGUAUAUUGACAGGCUCACAUUGCAAAUGGAUUCACUAGAGCUUGCAGCAGCAGGAAAGGGCUUGACAAAGGCGGAUAAAACCUCGAUGCCUGAAGAUGAUCCCAAUACUUCUAAAUAUUUGAAGCAAAUAGAUCAAAAUCUUCUUACAGACCCUAUAUUUAAUGAUGAAACCCGGGGAUGCAUUGGUGCUGAUGCUUCCUUCUUUGUUAUUCAAGAAAUUUUAAAAAGGCAGGCAGUGAUGUCCCGUAUGUCUUCUAUUGAGAAAGGCUUAAAUAGUCUUUCAGAGAUUAUCACAAGGAAUACAGUGGGAUCUGAGAAAAUAAGGUUUGAGUGGAAAUCAGUUGAUGGUGCAUCUUCAGACGGCGAUCAAAUAUUGAUGGAGCUAGAACAGUUUAGUCAGUGGAGAUCAAGGUGUCUCUCAUAUUUGCUAGACAAGAGAACAAUCAAAUUGCAUUCUGGUGCGGAGUUGAUUUUUCAGGCACCCAAGGAGCAGUGGAUUCAAAUUUUUGAAGGGUUAAAAUCUUCGACAUGUCCUGAUAAUUUUCUUGAAAUUAUGGAGAUCUUGCUACUGGGGCUUAUUUCAAGCAAAUGGAAUUACGUGAUCCAGAAUUUAAUAUCACUUCCUUGUGAUUUCCUCUCCAUCAUGACGAAACUCUCCGAUCUACGUGAAUUGCUUCAAAGAAAUACCCCAUUUUUGUUUUCCGAUAAGCUGCAGCUACUUGAAUUAGAUGUUAUAAUAGAUCAUUCAAGAUUCUUUCCAUGUUGCCAUAGUACGCAUAACCUACCCUCCAUCCCUCGUGACAAACAACAGGAAAAUGACAUUCUUCAGUAUCUGUCAUCAUUAUUGAGGUCUCAUCCUCAUAAACUAUGGAAACUACCUUCAGUUCUUGUUGCCGCUGCAAUUCCUUCAUGGUCAGUCUUGUUCAAGACGCACUUAAGCGAUGUAGAAAAUCAUUAUAACGAAUCCUAUUCUGCAGCUAGGUGAUGCUGCAUUUUUUUUCCCAUCCGGGCUAAUUGUACAGGACAAUUUUUUUAUUCCAUGGAUGCGAUCAGCAUGGAAGCAAGCACCAAUACUGUCAAGUUACCGAUAUGAUUCAGAGCCUCUACAUAUUCCACAUUCGCUUUUCUCCUGGCAGAGAUUGAUUUACUAGAGGGCUUGACAAUGGAAGAGGUACCGACAUAUUCCCUGAAAAAAAUGGAAAAAAAGAAAGAAAAAAAACAGAUGCUCUUCAUCUUCUUCUAUUUUUCCCUUGAUGUUUGGCUAUGUUAUGCAUGCUUCUUCUUCUAAUUUAAAUACUCAUUGCACCUCUCCUUGUCAAAGUAAAAGCUGUUUGUUUACUGGAAUACUCAUCGCACAGCACAGAGUCAGUGCUGACAUCUCUGAAAUGCAAAGUUCAGGCAUUUGUACAGGGAAGUUGUAUGAUUUAGGUCUUGGAGACUGAUGCAGAACUGAAAGAUUAAUACUGACUCAGAUGGGAUUUAGGAUAACGAAGAAGAUUAGGAGGUAAGCAUACGCUGGAAUAUUAGAAAGGUUUGAAGAGCGAAUGAUCCAUGAACCCAUCCUGGAAAUAAGCUAAGAGUUAGGUCAUUGAGCAGUUACUAAUUUGAGUGUCAGAGGCUUUUCCUAGGUACAAACUUUCUGUUUGAGUGUUGAUGUCUUAGUUUAGCUGGUUGUAGCUUGGACGGGUGUUUUGGGAGAGGAAUAGCUUUAUAUAAAUGGCCUUUUCUUUUUAAUUUCAUCUACUGCUAUAUAUCAAAACUUAUCAAAAUGUGCUGUCUCAAUUGAAAUAAAAUCAAAUCAGUCCAAAUCAAAUGUAGCUUGACUUUACAACAGAUUAAAACGAUUUUAGAACAUAAAAUUUAAAUGAAAUAAAAGACUAGAUUCAAUUUGAAUCAAAAUUAAUGAGCUAUACCUCAAUUAAAUUGGUCUCAAAUUGAGGCAGUCUAUAGCCAAAUUUAGCUUAGCCUCUUCUUAUUGUUUUUUAAAGUAGUUUUUUGGUUUAAAAAUUUUUUGAAUUAAAAAUUUUUUACUAGAAAGCUGCUUUAGAAAGCAGUAAGAAAGCCGUCUCAAACGAAAAGCCUAAAUUAAAAUGAUUUUAAGCCUAGAUUGAUCUUAAGUUAUAGUAGCUCUCUCACAGCUUAAGCCAAUCAUUUUACAACUCCAGAAGCAGCAGUUAGUGCUUUCUUUUGGGCAUUCUACUGAAGGUAAAAUAGGAUAAAGCUUAAAUGAAAAAAAAGGGUGAAAACUUAUAUCCACAUGUUAUAAAAUAAUAAUAAUAAUAAUAAUUUUAAAAACAUCAAGAUCCGAAAUAUAAAGAUCGAAAGUAACGGCUACCAAGAGAAUAAGAACAAAUGGGGUUGUUAGUCACAACCACACUUUGUCCAGGUUUGCUGCCUCAUUAGCCUUACAGCUUUAGGUCUUAAUAACAUUCCCACGGAAACACGUUAUUUGCUUCUUGUUUUGUGUAUAACUUGAUGCUUUAAUGCUCGCUACAGAGUUUAAACAAUGCAGUGACGCCGGAGCUGAGUAUGUCAUGGCCACGGGAGCACUAUUAGAAACUUCAGCUAAAUUUGUUAGAUUCAAUUUUCCCUUUUUCUGUAUAGCUUUUAGUGUGACCAUUGUAUGUAUAAAUAAGUUGGCUUUUGUGAAUAAAGGCAGAGUAUUUGAGUUUAAUUUCUUGUUUCGUUUUCCUUGGGGAUUACGUCUGUAUCCGGCCACGGGUCCGAUGGUGGUGAUGUUUCCUGCAGUCUGACGGUUCUGCCGACAAAGGUAUUGGUUCGCUGAGAGUUCGUCACUCACAAUCGACCGCCUUCCAGGGAGGUGCUGUUCGGACGUCGUCGUCCGAGUUGGAUAGUGACGCGACUGAAGAAGUUGUCCGGAGUCAAGCAGCCUAAUAAACUAAUCAGUAGACGACAUCAUGAACCAGCUUGCAUGACUUCAGAACUGACCACUUUAAAAGCCUGUAGUAGCCAGCUUUCAGAAGCGCAAGAGAUGAUACAAAGAUAAAAUUUGAAUCCCAUCUUUAAGAGUAUUGUAGUUACAAGUUUUAUAAAUACAAUGGAUGAAUGGAUCAACUAUGGCUGUAAAAUUUGAAGCUUUAUUAGAAGGGUGAUGUAAAAAUGCGA